UACGGAGGAUGCGAGCGUUAUCCGGAUUUAUUGGGUUUAAAGGGUGCGUAGGCGGAUUUUUAAGUCAGCGGUAAAAUGUCCGGGCUCAACCCGGGCCGGCCGUUGAAACUGGGGAUCUUGAGUGGAUGAGAAGUACGCGGAAUGCGUGGUGUAGCGGUGAAAUGCAUAGAUAUCACGCAGAACUCCGAUUGCGAAGGCAGCGUACCGGCAUCCAACUGACGCUGAGGCACGAAAGCGUGGGGAUCAAACAGG
rnacentral:rRNA from 1 species